ACCAAAAAUAUUUAAAUUAAAGAAAUGGGAUAAAACCCAAGUUUUUCUGGUAAUACAUUUAUAAGUGGGACAAAACCCGAUUUUCAUUUUGAUACAUCUAUAGGGAAUGACCCCAAUUAUUGAAAACAAUUCUCAUUUUAAUUAGGUAACUUUUAUUGCCACUUUUCUAAGCCUUCAGUGCUCUCCAGCUGGCUUUUAUUGGCUUCACACUAAGUUACCUGCAGCUACAUGAUCGUAAUCCAAGAUGUGCAAAAUGCCGUUUGGUUAUCGGCUAUUAAAGUGCAUGUGAAGCAUUGUUUUGUGAUGUUCAAAGGCUCAGAUCCAAAUGCUCAGAAACUACAUCUCGUUGUGGCUGCAAAUAAACCCAUCAUUUGAAAGGAAGCCAACAAAGGCUUUGCAAACACGCAACAUGCACCAUAGAUCAAGCAACCAACGGGAAAAAAAACGUUCAAAUCCUUCUCAUAUUAAUAGAUAGGGUAAUUGCCAUGCCAAACAACGAUCUGACCAAUUUUUUGGGUAUCAUCAUCGCCUAGCCAACCAUGGGGUAAUGACAUAACCCACGGACUUCGGUUUUCAAGGUAUAAGCUCAAAAAUGUUAACUCAUUGUGGCUGCAGUGAACAUGAUUGCCAGACCAAAACAAUGAGUUUACCAAUUAUUUAAGCCAAUGGUCCUAUAAGUUCAACAUUUGAUGCUCAGACUACACAGAUACAUCAUCACAGGUGUUAUGACAUUGUUGUUGACUGAACAACAUGAGCUUCCAAUUGUGAUAACGGCUCAGAUGAGUCAACGCCCAGCAUCACAGCCUCAAAACAUUAAACAUCACAAACGAAUUGAGGCAGAAAAUAAAUUCAAAAACGUCUCCGAUGAGCCACAAAGAUAUGAAGCAUUGGCUCAUCAUCAUCGACCAAACCAGAUACCGAUUAAACCAUCAAACAAAUAACAGAGACCAAAUGAAAAAGCCCUAAAUAAAAUUAGGGCUUAAACAACCAACAAGUCAGAUUGCAUCAUAAAUAAUGGAAAGCCAUAUUUUUUAUAUAAGGAUGAAAAGGCCAAACGUAAAGCCGCUGUCACCAUCCAUAGCCCGCCACCGAGAACCGUCGUAUCAGAACCCUAAAGGGUUCGAUGAGCAAAACGGUACGGCAAACAGGAUGGCACCAAACGGAGGCGGCAACGGAUCUAGACGACAGAGCAUAGCCAUCGUCCGCGUUGACUGAGGGGCACACAGCGAAG